GCGUGGAGGAUGAAGGCCUUCGGGUUGUAAACUCCUGUCAGGUGGGACGAAAAGGCUACGGCUAAUACCCGUAGUCCCUGACGGUACCACCAGAGGAAGCCCCGGCUAACUCCGUGCCAGCAGCCGCGGUAAUACGGAGGGGGCGAGCGUUAUUCGGAAUUAUUGGGCGUAAAGGGCGCGUAGGCGGCCCGAUAAGUCAGGGGUGAAAUCCCUCGGCUCAACCGAGGAACUGCCUUUGAAACUGUCGGGCUCGAGGCCGGGAGAGGGUAGUGGAAUUCCGAGUGUAGCGGUGAAAUGCGU
rnacentral:rRNA from 1 species